rnacentral:lncRNA from 1 species
GCGAAUGACUAUUCCCUCACUAAAACGACCAUGAAGACUCAUGUAAAAAUCCAAACGCGAAUGACUAUUCCCUCACUAAAAGCGCUUAUCUGAAAAGCUCAUCCACAGCGCGAUUUGGUUAUUCGCUUCAGCAUCACUUCUGCACUAUAGAUUAGCAUCGCGUGUUUGUCAUUGUUUCGUCUCCGACUCCUGCUUCUCCCCGUGUUUUAUGCUCAAGAACAACUCGAAGCGAACAACGGUUCCAAUCAUCAAUCCACGUUCCGAAAUCCGAAUCAAUGACUCAGUUCGAUUCACCAUUGUACGCGUGCACCAACAGAAAAAACAGAAUCGGAACCAAAGCGAUAAAUUCACCGGUAUUUGAAGCCUCAAUCGCAAACAGGUACUGAUCUCUGAUUCUGAUAUAUUUCUUCUUCUUCCUCGCUCACUCUACUUCUUCUUCUACAUAUGCGUGGUGUGGAGUGAUUCGUUCUGAGAUGAUGAAUAGUGAAUCGUGAAAUGGUGGAGUGGAUCUGAGAAUUUUGAAGAGUGAAUGUGAGCUUUCUGAAAACACAUUCAGGUGAUAUUUAAACCAUUUCUGAUUUAACAGAGUCGAACUCUGUUAAAUCUCAGAAGUUUCAAUUAGUUAACCGUUAACACUCUGUUAGAUCCAUGGUUAAAUAGUUAGUUAGAACUUGCAAAUUCAGUUGAGACCUUUUAUGUGUGUUGUGUUAGGUUAGUUACAGUGGAACUCUAAUUUGGUGUUCUGCUAGACGAAUUGGAAGGGUGAUAUUGCUUCUGUUUUUCUGUCAAAUUUUGUUAGCAAUUAGUUGGAUUUUGCAGGUAUAUGGUAGUGCAACAUACAAGGGUGCAAGAUUGAGUUGGAUCACCACCAUAAGCAAAAUUGUAGUUCUUGUGAUAUCUAAAGGUUGAUGUUCAGCAAUAGUAGGAUGUAUCAAUAUAUUAUGCAGUGUUAUGCAGGGUGCAUUGGGACAGGCUGGCACUGCCAUGAUGUAGGGUCCUCACUUCUGCACUUGGUCUGAAUGCAAUUAGGUAAGUUUCAUGGUUUUUCUUGCCUUGUUGCAGCUUCUUUUUAAUCGAUGGUAUGAUGAAUAAAAUGAGCCGAAUUAAUCAUGGCUUGGUUUUUGAUUAAUUAGCUUGGACUGAUAUUGCUCUGUUGUUUGAAAUGGUGUAGGUUAAAUUUAUUUGGAUUUUUUCUAUCAUGUACUCACUGAUGUGUUGGUAUUGUAGCUAAUCUUUUUGAAAAACUAUGUUAACUAAAACUGGAAAUUCCAAUUAGCCUGCUGCAGCCCAAAACUUUGCUAUGACCAAAAUGUUUGUUAGCUUAUGAGUGAGCUAAAUUGACUUUUUUUAAUGUCAUGAACAAUGUUGUCAAGAUCGCGAUUCAGAUCGUGGAAUCGCACGAUUUUGCGAUCUCAAUCAUCUCCACCGAUCUGGAUCGCAAGCAAGAUCGUUUUGUGCAGAAAUCACGGCGAAAUUAAUUGGUUUCGAAAUUUGAAGGUAGAAUCCCGUAAAUCUGGACUUAGUUAUCCGGGUCAAGUGCGACCCGAUUUACGAUCCGUGUGUUAUAAAUACGUAAAUACCUGUUUUUUUUCAAUAGCUUUGAAUCCUAAUGGUUAGUCUUAUGUAAAAUCGGCGACAUCUUUCUCAAAUUUUGCUGUUGGAGAAGAAGAUGUGAGCUGCUCUGUUUUCAUUUUCUUGUUUGUCUCUUAUUUUUCUGCAUUUCAUCUUCCACUCGAGUUAUUAUCUUUAUUUUAAUAUUGUUUAUUGUUUGGCUUGACAAUGUGUAAGGACUGAUAUGAUUUUAAUUAAUGUUGUCAUGAUCGAGAUCUUACAUAAGAUCGAGAUCUUACAUAAGAUCGAGAGGAGACAUUAAAAUUGUAAAAUAUAAAAUCGUAAUUAAAGUCGAAAGAUCUUACUCAAUUAAUUUUAUAAGAUCGAGAAGGAAUAACAAAAUCGUAAUCAAAAUAGUAAGAUUUUACUAAAAAAAUACUUAAAAUAUUUUAUAUUAUUUAUAUUAAAUAGUAUAUAAGUUUGCAUAUUAAAUAACAAACCAUCAAAUUGAAAAAUCUUAACCAUAAAAUUAAAAAUCUCAAAUCUUAACUUAAAAUAACAAACUCCAUAAAAUAAAAUACUCAAAAUCAUAGAGGUUAGUACAAAUCACAAAGGUGCCGAUAGUUUGGAUUUUUCCCUAUAAUGUUAACUCCUUCAUCUUCAUUAAUCUCAUCAUCUCCUCCACCAUAAUCAUCACCAUCAUCAUCUCCUUCAUCACCUUCAUCUACAUUUUCUUCUUCAUUGUCACUUUCUAUAGUUUCAAGGAUAUCAAAUUCAUCUACAUGUCUAGUUGAUUUAGCACCAGUACUUUGCAUCAAAUCUUCAUCUAAAUCAGUCACAUUUACAUGAUUACCACCUGUAUUUUCUUCCUCAGCAACAUACCACCAAUCGUCAUCAUCUUGGAAAUCAUCAAUUGUUAGAUCUCGCUUGUUCCUUUCAGCCUUAUUCUUGGUCAAUCUUGUAUUUACCAUCACAUACACAAGAUCAUUCAUAGUCUUUUGUUUCAACCGAUUUCUUUUCUUUGUAUGAACCUAAAAAGGGAAAAUAUUAAAUUAAAAUGCAUAACAUAUAGUAGCUAUGAAAAAUAUAUAUGAUACAUUAAAAAAAUAUACCAUUUCAAAAGCACUCCAAUUUCUCUCUCAGCCAGAAGAACUGCAUGUCUAACUCAAAACACGAAUAGCAAAGUUUUGCAACUCUGGGUGUGCAUCACCGUAAGAUUCCCACCAUUGAGUUGGUGUCUUGUUUUUUAGUCCACAUUGAGCUAUUUCACUCCCAAAGAAUCAUUUUUUACUCUUAAAAUCCUCAAGUUGACCAUCAAUUUUAUUCACCAUAUCCAUGUCUCCUACCAUCAUUCUUUCUAAACAUGCAUACAUUCCUUGUUUCACUUCAUUAUCUACUUUAAAAUUAGGUUUGUAAUGCAAAAUUGGAUUAAGAUAAUAGCCUGCAGCAUGCAAAGUCCUAUGCAAUUGUUUGUCCCAUCUGAUAUCUAUAAUUUUCCAUAAUGGUUGGUAGCUUAAGAAAGAAAAGAUUAAGUUAGUUCAUAAAUAAAUACUAAUAUACUUUUUAUAUCAAAUAAAUUAAUCUAUGAUAUUUUAUAAAAUUAUACCUUUUUCUAUUAUUAUUGUAGCUAGUUUGUAUUUCCUCUUUUGCUUGAUCCAUUGCUUCAUAGAUAUAGCCCAUGGCUGCCUUCUCAUCAGAAUCCACCAUACGCAAGACUUUAAGUAAUGGAAAAGCACCCUUGAGGCAAAUAAUCAAAUUCUUCUAAACGUCAUUGUUUGUGACUAUAUUUUCAACAAAUUUUCCAUCUUUUGUCUUGGAAAAUUGACUAUCCUUCCAUUGCUUGGAAGUGAACAUCAUAUACAAUCCUCCCCUCUUAUCAUUCAAGCAACCCAAAUACAAAUAUGAUGUUGCAAAGCGAGUGAUGUCAGGUCUUAUCAACUCAUCUCCUUCAGUGUAAUGAUGCAACAAAGUUAUAAGACCAGUCCUAGCAUAAACGUAAGUUGUGAUCUUUUUACCUGAAGCAAUAAUCUCCUUAUGCAUAGGUAUCUUGCUCUCAAAAUCCUCUAACAUUAGAUCAAUGCAAUGAACCGCACAAGGUGUCCAAUAAAGCUUAUUUCCUUUUAUCCAUCAAUAUUUGUCCAGCUAACUUGUAGUUUGCAACAUUGUUUGUUACAAUAUCAUCCCACUUCCUCAACAAUAUCAUCCAUCAUUUUGAAAACUUUAUCAAUUAUCUUUAAAAUGCUAGAUGCAUCAAUUGAUUUUAAAAAGAAAGUACCCAUAGGACUAUUGACUAAAAAGUUUAUGAUAGUCCUCCUAUUUCGGUCAGUCCAUCCAUCCGUCAUUAUUGUACAUCCAAACUUUUUCCACGCAGCUUUAUGCUCUACCAAUAUGCUAUUUAUAGACUCAACUUUUUUCUUUAAAUAUUUACCUCGAAUAUCAUGGUAAGAUGGUCGUUUAUAUCCUUUACCAUAUUGGGCAAUCAUUUCACAUAUCUUUAUAAAAUCUUCAUCUUUUACAACGUUAAAAGAGAUAUCAUUGUUGUAAAAAUAAGUUGCAACUUGUAAGUUAGUAUCCUCCUUCUCUUUUUUUUUUAAAAGCAUCGUUGAUAGUUGAUUAAGAAGUUAUCCCCCUCUUGAAAAUAUUUGCAAGACCAGAAGAUUCAACUUUUUUUCUUUUACAAUCUUCCACAUCAACCUCUAUUACAUUUUCACUUAGAGUUCUCUUUUUGAUGAGUUUGCUUUGCAAUCUAUGAACAAUGAUCCACAUUUGUUUGCAAACUUCAUCUGGAACAGACACACAAGGUUCAACAUUACUAUUUGUCCCUGCUAAAUGAUGCUUAAAUCGAAAAGCACCGCCGCUAUACUGAUUAUGACAAUAGUUGCACUUGAUCUUUCUUGAUCCAUCAUUUACGGGAGUGCCAUGUUCCCAUGUCACAUCUUGCCUUUGACCUGGAGCAUUUUUGGCAACUUUCUUAUUUCUCACAUUUCUAACACUUGGGUUUGUUGAAGGAGGAAGCGACGUACUACUACCACUAACCAUCUGUCCUAUUAAAAAGCUAAGACAGAUAACUUUUAUAUAAAAAAAUUAAAAAUACAAAUAUUUUUUGAAAUUUAAAACACAUAGUAAUAUAAAACAAACAAAAAAGAGUGUAAAAAAAUAUCUUACAAAUAUAUAUAAAUAAAUUAAAAAAGACAAAUAAUUUUUAUAAAAAGAGUAAAUAAAUAAACAAAUUUAAAAAGAUAAAUAACUUUUUUGUAACCUAUAUUUAUGUAUUUGUAAUAUAAUUUAACAAAUAAAACGCUGCAAUAUAAUGUUACUAACUACUACUUGUAACAUAAAAAAAAUUAUUUUUAUAUUAUAUUAUAUGUAUGAAUAAAAGUUGUAAUAAAAUCAAUUUAAAAAAUAACACGUGACCAAAAGAAAUAAAAUUGCAGUGAAUAGUGAUGGUUAUAUACUGUAAUAGUUAUGUUAGUGCAACAUCUCUAAGAAUAUUACAUCGGAAUUGAGGCGUGAAACUAUUAUAUUUUAUUAAUGUACAUUGUAUUAUAUAUGUUCCAUGGUUUAAGAAUUCAUCAACUAUUAUAUUAUAUUAUAUUGGAGUACAUUAUAUUAUAUAUAUUAUAUAUGUUCCAUGGUUUAAGAAUUCAUCAACUAUUAUAUUAUAUUAUAUUGGAGUACAUUAUAUUAUAUAUAUUAUAUUAACGUACAUCAUGAGAGCUAAUAAAAAAAUCUGACUUAUCCUAUCUUAGUCACGUCCUAUCAAUCCUUACACAUUGCCAAGCCAAACAAUAAAUAAUAUUAAAAUCUUAUGGUCACCUUCCAAAGACUUGGUCACCUUCCAUAGCCCUUAACCUUUUCUCAAGAAUCUGAAAAUUCUCUAUCAUUCCUCUUAUCUCUUCAUGCCUUUCAUCAUCUUCGUCCGAAAAAUCCGGAGCAUGUUGUUGAUCUUCAAAAUAAGGUUGCACGUGUGCAUGGACAAGAGGUGGUGCGAAGGUGUGGACCACUGGAUGAGUUUCAUUGAUAGUUGGUAGAGGAACCGUCUGCUGAGUGGAUUGUACAAAACCAGGGGCGCCUUCAACUGGAGGUGUGAAGCCGGGAGGUAAACCAUAGACUGGACAAGUGGUCGGCACUGUCCUUGCAGGUUGGGGUUCAAUCGUAGGACCAGUGAUUUCUGAAACGAUCGUCGAUUGGGUGUCCAACUUGGCCUUAAUGACUUGUAGUAUCUCCAUGACUUGACCCAUGUUUCCUCGUAGGUCUUCAAGUUUUGAGCUCACUCUCUCCAAUUCUUGUUCUUUAUCUGCCAUUCUUUGACGGGCGCUGGCUCUGGUGUUGUAGUGGUGUUGAGGACUCAGUGUGGAACUGAAGAGACACAAAAUUGAGUUUUUUUUGUUUGAAGAAUGACAUGAGUGUAUGUUAUGGGUGCAUUUUGUGCAAAGCUCUUAGUUAUCUUUAUUAUUUAUUCCAGCAAUGUUAGAAUGUAUUAAAUAAGAAUAACACGUAAUAAUUAAGGCCCAAAAUGACAACUUCCAUUAAUUAAAAUCAAAUUCGAAUACAAAAGGAUUUAACUUCAAGUACAAAUGAUUCAAAUACAAAAGAUUUAAACACCAACAAUUCAAAUUCAAGUACAAGUAAGCUCUGUCUCAGCUCUUCUGAUCGUAGCAAGAUCUGUUGGUGAGCUCUUUCAUCAUUUUCUUGCAAAACUUGACGAAAAUUGAAAACUUGAGGAGGCGUGUUUUCGGGACACAUACACCAAUCCGCUUCCUGGAGUUUUUCUGGGAGUUCCAACAUGUUGAGGUUAACAAAUCUAGCUAAGUUGCGGAACUUGCCAUUCCGUUCAAUAUAGAGCUCUUGGAGUUUCUUGAUGACCUGUUGAUCUUCAUCUAAGGUUGCUCUAGCCUCUCUAUACAACCUUUUCCAGUACACACAAUCAUUCUUUAGAAGCAAGUAGGCUACAUCACCUUCUUGGCUCUCCAAAACUGCAAACCUCCUGUUAGCUUCUUCCAACUGGUACUUGAGAUGGUGACAGUUUCUUUCAGCUUCUUCCUUUUGGAGUAUCUCGCGAGACAACUUUUCCUUGAAUUUCUUUAGAGUGUCCCUUAGUUCACGGAUUUGUGCCUCAAAGUCGAGCUUAAUUUCUUUCUUUUCCAUAAGAGAUCUAUCCAACAUUUUCCCUAACUCACAGAUUCUAUAUUCAGCUUUCUUGAGCUCUUCCUUCCCGGUUCGGAUCACUGAUGUGGAACCUAUAAGGAUAUGAUCAAGAUCGUCCUUCUGGUCUUCCAAUAGCCUGGCUCUCUUGUUACUAUCCUCAAGUUCCUGGGCUUUCCCCUUACGUUCCUCCUUCAAAAAUAUGAUCAAGAUCGUCCUUCUGGUCUUCCAAUAGCCUGGCUCUCUUGUUACUAUCCUCAAGUUCCUGGGCUUUCCCCUUACGUUCCUCCUUCAAAUUCUGAUUUUCCAAGAUAACUCGGUUCAUCUAAAUCCGUAAUUCAGUAUUCUCCAAUUCGAGCUCCUUAACCUUAGUAGUGAGUUUCUCCAUGUCCUCAGGUAGUAUAGGCUUGGGCUCAGGAGUUUCGGGAAAAGCUGAAGCCUUUAAGAUAAAUGGAAAAUGAAUUUCCCCAACUCUUUCUUUCACCCAUCGAGUGUAAGGUUCUUUGGCGAGAAGGUUUCUUUUUCCAAACUCUUUACCCUUCCUAACAACCCUUACCAAAGCCUUUCGUAUUGCUCUUACAUCAGGAUUACUUGCUUGGAUGUCAAAGAGCACAAAUGGUUGUAAGUCCUUUGCGUUAGGAGGACCAUCCAUGGAGUAGCCGUGUUGCAUUCGAGAUAACAUAGGGUUAUAAUUGAUGCAACCUUUAGUACCCAACAACGAUACAUUAGGAAAUUCCCCACAGCUGACUAUAAUGUUUGGGGUUUCCCACUCUCGGAUAUACCAUCGGAUGGAACUUGCAGUGAGAGAAGCUAAUCUUUGAGGAGAUUUAAGUUCCUUUGCCACAAAAGGGCCUUUUUCGGGCAUGUGUUGCAUGAACCAAGUAUAAAGCAAAUGAGCACAUCACAACAAAGUUCCACCCCUCUUUUCAUGUCGAGCGCGAAGGGCAUGGUAAAUGUCAGCUAAGAGAAAUGGUACGGGAUUGCCAGAGAGAAAGACUUCUAUGGCUACCUGAUCCACAAAUUUUUCAACGUUUGGGAAGAGCACAAUCCCAUGGAUCAACAAAGCCAACACAACAUAGAAUACAUUCCAAUUUCCCUUUUUCUUGAACUUCAGAGCUAAAUCUUCCAAAAAUGUCAUGGCAAAACCUUCGCAACCCCCUUUCUCAACCCAAUUGUCUAGAACAGUCGGGACAUUGAUACUUAGGGCUGAAGUUAUCUUCUUUGGGCCUGCUUCUUCUUCGAGCUUUGGAAAUGGAUUGAAAUCCUUCAAUUUGAGACCCACGAUUCUCUCAAUUUCUUCCAAAGUAGGAGCUAGUUGGAAAUCAACGAAGAUAGAAGCAGGCCCAAGAAGAUAGCUUCAGCCCUAAGUAUCAAUGUCCCGACUGUUCUAGACAAUUGGGUUGAGAAAGGGGGUUGCGAAGGUUUGGCCAUGAUAUUUUUGGAAGAUUUAGCUCUGAAGUUCAAGAAAAAGGGAAAUUGGAAUGCAUUAUAUUCUGUGUUGGCUUUGUUGAUCCAUGGGAUUGUGCUAUUCCCAAAUGUUGAAAAAUUUGUGGAUCAGGUAGCCAUAGAAGUCUUUCUCUCUAGCAAUCCCGUACCAUUUCUCUUAGCUGACAUUUACCAUGCCCUUCACGCUCGACAUGAAAAGAGGGGUGGAACUUUGUUGUGCUGUGCUCCUUUGCUUUAUACUUGGUUCAUGCAACACAUGCCUGAAAAAGGCCCUUUUGUGGUAAAGGAACUUAAAUCUCCUCAAAGAUUAGCUUCUAUCACUGCAAGUUCCAUCCGAUGGUAUAUCCGAGAGUGGGAAACCCCAGACAUUAUAGUCAGCUGUGGGGAAUUUCCUAAUGUACCGUUGUUGGGUACUAAAGGUUGCAUCAAUUAUAACCCUAUGUUAUCUCGAAUGCAACACGGCUACUCCAUGGAUGGUCCUCCUGACGCAAAGGACUUACAGCCAUUUGUGCUCUUUGACAUCCAAGCAAGUAAUCCUGAUGUAAGAGCGAUACGAAAGGCUUGGUUAAAGGUUGUUAGAAAGGGUAAAGAGUUUGGAAAAAGAAACCUUCUCGUCAAAGAACCUUACACUCGAUGGGUGAAAGAAAGAGUUGGGGAAAUCCAUUUUCCAUUUAUCUUAAAGGCUUCAGCUUUUCUCGAAACUCCUGAGCCCAAGCCUAUACUACCUGAGGACAUGGAGAAACUCACUACUAAGGUUAAGGAGCUCGAAUUGGAGAAUACUGAAUUACGGAUUCAGAUGAACCGAGUUAUCUUGGAAAAUCAGAAUUUGAAGGAGGAACGAAUCGUAAUCAUUAAUAGUAAGAUUUACGUAAAAAAUAUACUUAAAAAUUAUUUAUAUAAUUUAUAUUAAAUAGUUAUAAAGUUUGCAUAUUAAAUAACAAACCAUCAAAUUGAAAAAUCUUAACCAUAAAAUUAAAAUCUCAAAUCUUAACUUAAAAUAACAAACUCAUAAAAUAAAAUACUCAAAAAUCAUAGAGGUUAGUACAAAUCAACAAAGGGCCCGUAGUUUGGAUUUUUCCCUAUAAUGUUAACUCUUCAUCUUCAUUAAUCUCAUCAUCUCCUCACCAUAAUCAUCACCAUCAUCAUCUCCUUCAUCACCUAUCUUACAUUUUCUUCUUCUUGUCACUUUCUAUAGUUUCAAGGAUAUCAAUUCAUCUACAUGUCUAGUUGAUUUAGCACCAGUACUUUGCAUCAAAUCUUCAUCUAAAUCAGUCCACAUUUACAUGAUUACCACCUGUAUUUCUUCUCAGCAACAUACCACCAAUCGUCAUCAUCUGGCAAAUCAUCAAUUGUUAGAUCUCGCUUGUUCCUUUCAGCCUUAUUCUUGGUCAAUCUUGUAUUUACCAUACAUACAUAACAAAUCAUUCAUAGUCUUUUGUUUCAACCGAUUUCUUUUCUUUGUAUGAACCUAAAAAGGAAAAAUAUAAAUUAAAAUGCAUAACAUAUAGUAGCUAUGAAAAAUAUAUAUGAUACACUUAAAAAAAUAUACCAUUUCAAAAGCACUCCAAUUUUCUCUCAGCCAGAAGAACUGCAAUGUCUAACUCAAAACACGAAUAGCAAAGUUUUGCAACUCUGGGUGUGCAUCACCGUAAGAUUCCCACCAUUGAGUUGGUGUCUUGUUUUUAGUCCACAUUGAGCUAUUUCACUCCCAAAGAAUCAUUUUUCACUCUAAAAUCCUCAAGUUGACCAUCAAUUUUAUUCACCAUAAUCCAUGUCUCCAUCCACAUCUUUCUAAACAUGCAUACAUUCCUUGUUUCACUUCAUUAUCUACUUUAAAUUAGGUUUGUAAUGCAAAAUUGGAUUAAGAUAAUAGCCUGCAGCAUGCAAAGUCCUAAGCAAUUUGUGUCCCAUCUGAUAUCUAUAAUUUUCCAUAAUGGUUGGUAGCUUAAGAAAAGAAAGAUUAAGUUAGUUCAUAAAUAAAUACUAAUAUACUUUUUAUAUAAAAUAAAUUAAUCUAUGAUAUUUUAUAAAAUUAUACCUUUUUCUAUUAUAUUGUAGCUAGUUUGUAUUUCCUCUUUUGCUUGAUCCAUUUGCUCAUAGAAUAAGCCCAUCUGCCUUCUCAUCAGAAUCCACCAUACGCAAGACUUUAAGUAAUGAAAAGCACCCUUGAGGCAAUUAAUCAAAUUCUUCUAAACGUCAUGUUGUGACUAUAUUUCAACAAAUUUUCCAUCUUUUGUCUUGGAAAAUUGACUAUCCUUCCAUGCUUUGGAAGUGAACAUCAUUACAAUCCUCCCCUCUUAUCAUUCAAGCAACCCAAUACAAAUAUGAUGUUGCAAAAAGCGAGUGAUGUCAGGUCUUCAACUCAUCUCCUCAGUGUAAUGAUGCAACAAAGUUAUAAGACCAGUCCUAGCAUAAACGUAAGUUGUGAUCUUUUUACCUGAAGCAAUAAUCUCCUUAUGCAUAGGUAUCUUGCUCUCAAAAUCCUCUAACAUUAGAUCAAUGCAAUGAACCGCACAAGGUGUCCAAUAAAGCUUAUUUCCUUUUAUCCAUCAAUAUUUGUCCAGCUACUUUGUUAUUUGCAACAUUGUUGUACAAUAUCAUCCCACUUCCUCAAACAAUAUCAUCCAUCAUUUUGAAAACUUUAUCAUUAUCUUAAAAUGCUAGAUGCAUCAAUUGAUUUUAAAAGAAAGUACCCAUAGGACUAUUGACUAAAAGUUUAUGAUAGUCCUCCUAUUUCGGUCAGUCCAUCCUCCGUCAUUAUUGUACAUCCAAACUUUUUCCACGCAAGCUUAUGCUCUACCAAUAUGCUAUUUAGAGACCAACUUUUUUCUUUAAAUAUUUACCUCGAAUAUCAUGGUAAGAUGGUCGUUUAUAUCCUUUACCAUAUUGGGCAAUCAUUUCACAUAUCUUUAUAAAAUCUUCAUCUUUUACACCGUUAAAAGAGAUAUAUUUGUAAAAAUAAGUUGCAAACUUUAAGUUAGUAUCUCCCUUCUCUUUUUUAAAAGCAUCGUUGAUAGUUGAUUAAAGAAGUUAUCCCCCUCUGAAAUAUUUGCAAGACCAGAAGAUUCAACUUUUUUCUUUUACAAUCUUCACAUCAACCUCUAUUACAUUUUCACUUAGAUGUUCUCUUUUUGAUGAGUUUGCUUGCAAUCUAUGAACAAUGAUCCACAUUUGUUUGCAAACUUCAUCUGGAACAGACACACAAGGUUCAACAUUACUAUUUGUCCUGCUAAAUGAUGCUUAAAUCGAAAAGCACCGCCGUCUACUGAUUAUGACAAUAGUUGCACUUGAUCUUUCUUGAUCCAUCAUUUACUACGGGAGUGCCAUGUUCCCAUGUCACAUCUUGCCUUUGACCUGGAGCAUUUUUGGCAACUUCCUUAUUUCUCACUUUCUAACACUUGGGUUUGUUGAAGGAGGAGCGACGUACUACUACCACUAAACCAUCUGUCCUAUUAAAAAGCUAAAACAGAUAACUUUUAUAUAAAAAAAUUAAAAAUACAAAUAUUUUUUGAAAUUUAAACACAUAGUAAUAUAAAACAAACAAAAAAGAGUGUAAAAAAAUAUCUUACACAAAUAUAUAUAAAUAAAUUAAAAAAGACAAAUAAUUUUUUAUAAAAAGAGUAAUAAAUAAACAAAUUUAAAAGAUAAAUAACUUUUUUGUAACCUAUAUUUAUGUAUUUGUAAUAUAAUUAACAAAUAAAACGCUGCAAUAUAAUGUUACUAACUACUACUUGUAACAUAAAAAAAAUAUUUUAUAUUAAUUAUAUGUAUGAAAAAAGUGUAAUAAAAUCAAUUUAAAAAUAACACGUGAACCAAAGAAAAAUAAAAUUGCAGUGAAUAGUGAUGGUUAUAGACUGUAAUAGUUAUGUUAGUGCAACAUCUCUAAGAAAUUACAUCGGAAUUGAGGCGUGAAACUAUUAUAUGUUUUAUUAAUGUACAUUGUAUUAUAUAUGUUCCAUGGUUAAGAAUUCAUCAACUAUUAUAUUAUAUUAAUAUUGAGGUACAUUAUAUUAAUAUAAUAUAUAUGUUCCAUGGUUUAAGAAUUCAUCAACUAUAUACUUAAUAUAUAUUGGAGUACAUUAUAUUAUAUAUAUUAUAUUAACUACAUCAUGAGAGCUAAUAAAAAAAUCUGACUUAUCCUAUCUUUAGUCACGUCCUAUCAAUCCUUACACAUUGCCAGCCAAACAAUAAUAAUAUUAAAAUCUUAUGGUCACCUUCCAAAGACUGGUCACCUUCCAUAGCCCUUAACCUUUCUCAAGAAUCUGAAAUCCUCUAUUCAUUCCUCUUAUCUCUUCAUGCCUUUCAUCAUCUUCGUCCGAAAAAUCCGGAGCAUGUUGUUGAUCUUCAAAAUAAGGUUGCACGUGUGCAUGGACAAGAGGUGGUGCGAAGGUGUGGACCACUGGAUGAGUUUCAUUGAAGUUGGUAGAGGAACCGUCUGCGUGAUGGAUUGUACAAAACCAGGGCGCCUUCAACUGGAGGUGUGAAGCCGGGAGGUAAACACAGAACUGGACAAUGGUCGGCAACUGUCCUUCGCAGGUUGGGGUUCAACUCGUAGGACCAGUGAUUUCUGAAAAGAUCGUCGAUUGGGUGUCCAACUUGCUUAAUGACUGUAGUAUCUCCAUGACUUGACCCAUGUUCCUCGUAGGUCUUCAAGUUUGAGCUCACUCUCUCCAAUUCGUUCUUUUACUGCAUUCUUUGACGGGCGCUGGCUCUGGUGUUGUAGUGGUGUUGAGGACUCAGUGUGGAACUGAAGAGACACAAAAAUUAGUUUUUUUGUUUGAAGAUGACAUGAGUGUAUGUUAUGGGUGCAUUUUGUGCAAAGCUCUUAGUUAUCUUUAUUAUUUAUUCCAGCAAUGUUUAGAAUGUAUUAAAUAAGAAUAACACGUAAUAAUUAAGGCCAAAAUGACAACUUCCAUUAAUUAAAAUCAAAUUCGAAUACAAAAGGAUUUAACUUCAAGUACAAAUGAUUCAAAUACAAAAGAUUUAAACACCAACAAUUCAAAUUCAAGUACAAGUAAACUUAAAGCUCUGUCUCAGCUCUUUGAUCGUAGCAAGAUCUGUGGUGAGCUCUUUCAUCAUUUUCUUGCAAAACUUGACGAAAUUGAAACUUGAGGAGGCGUGUUUUCGGGACACAUACACCAAUCCGCUUCCUGGAGUUUUUCUGGGAGUUCCAACAUGUUGAGGUUAACAAAUCUAGCUAAGUUUCGGAACUGCCAUUCCGUUCAAUAUAGAGCUCUUGGAGUUUCUUGAGGACCUGUUGAUCUUCAUCUAGGUUGCUCUAGCCUCUCUAUCAACCUUUCCAGUCAACACAAUCAUUUCUUUAGAAGCAAGUAGGCUACAUCACCUUCUUGGCUCCCAAAACUGCAAACCUCCUGUUAGCUCUUCCAACUGGUACUUGAGAUGGUGACAGUUUCUUUCAGCUUCUUCUUUGGAGUAUCUCGCGAGACAACUUUUCCUUGAAUUUCUUUAGAGUGUCCCUUAGUUCACGGAUUUGUGCCUCAAAGUCGAGCUUAAUUUCUUUCUUUUUCCAUAAGAGAUCUAUCCAACAUUUUCCCUAACUCACAGAUUCUAUAUUCAGCUUUCUGAGCUCUUCCUUCCGGUUCGGAUCACUGAUGUGGAACCUAUAAGGAUAUGAUCAAGAUCGUCCUUCUGGUCUCCAAUGAGCCUGGCUCUCUGGUUACUAUCCUCAAAGUUCUGGGCUUUCCCCUACGUUCCUCCUCAAAUUCUGAUUUUCCAAGAUAACUCGGUCAUCUAAAUCCGUAAUUCAGUAUUCUCCAUUCGAGCUCCUUAACCUUAGUAUGAGUUUCUCCAUGUCCUCAGGUAGUAUAGGCUUGGGCUCAGGAGUUUGGGGAAAAAGCUGAGCCUUUAAGAAAUGGAAAAUGAAUUUCCCCAACUCUUUCUUUCACCCAUCGAGUGGUAAGGUUCUUUGGCGAGAAGGUUUCUUUUCCAAACUCUUUACCCUUCCUAACAACCCUUACCAAAGCCUUUCGUAUUGCUCUUACAUCAGGAUUAUUGCUUGGAUGUCAAAGAGCACAAAUGGUUGUAAGUCCUUUGCGUUAGGAGGACCAUCCAUGGAGUAGCCGUGUUGCAUUCGAGAUAACAUAGGGUUAUAAUUGAUGCAACCUUAAGUAUCCCAACCACGAUACAUUAGGAAAUUCCCCACAGCUGACUAUAAAUGUUUGGGGUUCCCACUCUCGGAUAUACCAUCGGAUGGACUUGCAGUGAGAGAAGCUAAUCUUUGAGGAGAUUUAAGUUCCUUUGCCACAAAAGGCCUUUUUCGGGCAUGUGUUUGCAUGAACCAAGUAUAAAGCAAAUGAGCACAUCACAACAAAGUUCCACCCCUCUUUUCAUGUCGAGCGCGAAGGGCAUGGUAAAUGUCAGCUAAGAGAAAUGUUACGGGAUUGCCAGAGAGAAAGACUUCUAUGGCUACCUGAUCCACAAAUUUUUCAACGUUUGGGAAAGAGCACAAUCCCAUGGAUCAACAAAGCCACACAACAUAGAAUACAUUCCAAUUUCCCUUUUUCUUGAACUCAGAGCUAACUUCCAAAAUGUCAUGGCAAAACCUUCGCAACCCCCUUCUCAACCCAAUUGUCAGAACAGUCGGGACAUGAUACUUAGGGCUGAAGUUAUCUCUUUGGGCCGCUUCUUCUUCGAGCUUUGGAAAUGGAUUGAAAUCCUUCAAUUUGAGACCCACGAUUCUCUCAAUUUCUUCCAAAGUAGGAGCUAGUUGGAAAUCAACGAAGAUAGAAGCAGGCCCAAAGAAGAUAGCUUCACCCUAAGUAUCAUGUCCCGACUGUUCUAGACAAUUGGGUUGAGAAAGGGGGUUUCGAAGGUUUGGCCAUGAUAUUUUUGGAAGAUUUAGCUCUGAAGUCAAGAAAAAGGAAAUUGGAAUCAUUAUAUUCUGUGUUGGCUUUGUUGAUCCAUGGGAUUGUGCUAUUCCCAAAUGUUGAAAAAUUUGUGGAUCAGGUAGCCAUAGAAGUCUUUCUCUCUAGCAAUCCCGUACCAUUUCUCUUACUGACAUUUACCAUGCCCUUCACGCUCGACAUGAAAAGAGGGGUGGAAUUGUUGUGCUGUGCUCCUUUGCUUAUCUUGGUUCAUGCAACACAUGCCUGAAAAAAGGCCCUUUUGUGGUAAAGAACUUAAAUCUCCUCAAAGAUUAGCUUCUAUCACUGCAAGUUCCAUCCGAUGGUAUAUCCGAGAGUGGGAAACCCCAGACAUUAUAGUCAGCUGUGGGGAAUUUCCUAAUGUACCGUUUGUGGGUACUAAAGUUGGCAUCAAUUAUAAACCCUAUGUUAUCUCGAAUGCAACACGGCUAAUCCAUGGAUGGUCCUCCUGACGCCAAAGGACUUACAGCCAUUUUUGUGCUCUUUGACAUCCAAGCAAGUAAUCCUGAGUAAGAGCGAUAGAAAGGCUUGGUUAAAGGUUGUUAGAAAGGGUAAAGAGUUUGGAAAAAGAAACCUUCUCGUAAAGAACCUAACACUCGAUGGGUGAAGAAAAGAGUUGGGGAUCCAUUUCCAUUUAUCUUAAAGGCUUCAGCUUUUCUCGAAACUCCUGAGCCCAAGCUAUACUACCUGAGGACAUGGAGAAACUCACUACUAAGGUUAAGGAGCUCGAAUUGGAGAAUACUGAAUUACGGAUUCAGAUGAACCGAGUUAUCUUGGAAAAUCAGAAUUUGAGGAGGAACGUAAGGGGAAAGCCCCAGGAACUUGAGGAUAGUAACAAGAGAGCCAGGUUAUUGGAAGACCAGAAGGAAGAUCUUGAUCAUAUCCUUAUAGGUUCCACAUCAGUGAUCCGAACAGGAAGGAAGAGCUCAAGAAAGCUGAAUAUAGAAUCUGUGAGUUAGGGAAAAUGUUGGAUAGAUCUCUUAUGGAAAAGAAAGAAAUAAAGCACUCGACUUUGAGGCACAAAUCCAUGAACUACGGACACUCUGAAGAAAUGCAAAGGAAAAGUUGUCUCGCAGAAUAUACUCCAAAAGGAAGAAGCUGAAAGAAACUGUCACCAUCUCAAGUACCAGUUGGAAAGAAGCUAAUAGGAGGUUUGGCAUUUGGAGAGCCAAGAAGGUGAUGCAGCUACUUGCUCCUAAAGAAUGAUUGUGUGUACUGGAAAGGUUGUAUAGAGAGGCUAGAGAAACCUUAAAUGAAGAUCACGGUAUCAAGAAACCUCCAAGAGCUCCUAUGUUGAGAUGGAAUGGAAGUUCCGAACUUAGCUAGAUUUUAACUCUAACAUGUUGGAACUCCCAGAAAAACUCCAGGAAGCGGAUUGGUGUUUGUGCCCGAAAACACGCCUCCUCAAGUUUUCAAUUUCGUCAAGUUUUGCAAGAAAAUGAUGAAGGAGCUCACCACAGAUCUUUGUGCUAUCGAUCAUAAGAGCUGAAGACAGAGUUAAGUUUUCUUGUACUUGAAUUUGAAUUGUUGGUGUUUAAAUCUUUUUGUANUUGUUGGUGUUUAAAUCUUUUGUAUUUGAAUCAUUUGUACUUGAAGUUAAAUCCUUUUGUAUUCGAAUUUGAUUUUAAUUAAUGGAAGUUGUCAUUUUGGGCCUCAAUUAUUACAUGUUAUUCUUAUUUAAUACAUUCUAACAUUGCUGGAAUAAAUAAUAAAGAUAACUAAGAGCUUUGCACAAAAUGCACCCAUAACAUACACUCAUGUCAUUCUUCAAACAAAAAAAAAACUCAUUUUUGUGUCUUCUUCAGUUCCACACUGAGUCCUCAACACCACUACAACACCAGAGCCAGCGCCCGUCAAAGAAUGGCAGAUCAAGAACAAGAAUUGGAGAGAGUAAGCUCAGAACUUGAAGACCUACGAGGAAACAUGGGUCCAGUCAUGGAGAUACUACAAGUUAUUAAGGCCAAGUUGGACACCCAAACGACGGUCGUUUCAGAAAUCGCUGGUCCUACGAUUGAACCCCAACCUGUAAGGACAGUGCCGACCACUUGUCCAGUCUAUGGUUUAUCUCCCGACUUCACACCUCCAGUUGAAGGCGCCCCUGGUUUUGUACAAUCCACUCAGCAAACGGUUCCUCUACCAACUAUCAAUGAAACUCAUCCAGUGGUCCACACCUUCGCACCACCUCUUGUCCAUGCACACGUGCAACCUUAUUUUGAAGAUCAACAACAUGCUCCGGAUUUUUCGGACGAAGAUGAUGAAAGGCAUGAAGACAUAAGAGGAAUGAAAGCGAAUUUCCAAAUUCUUGAGAAAGGGUUAAGGGCUAUGGAAGGUGACCAUAAGAUUUUCUUUAUACUAUGCUAGCAUCCUGGAAAAGUCUUAAGAUUUAGCUAGGGAUGUCAUUCCGUUACUAACAUAUCUCGACUGAGAUGUCCAAGAUAUUGUUCUGACGACUCCCAAAAAGUCUUGAUUGUUCCAUUUUACUGUAGGAUAAUGUCUUUCACCAUUUCUCCCUUGCAUUUCCUAUGACAAAAUUUGGGUCUUUUCGUAUUUAAUUACCUUCCACUACGAAUGUAUGAAGACUGCUGUCAUUCUUACCUUCUGGUUCAAGUUAAUUAAAUAUGGGCAGUUGUCAUAUCCCAAUUUUGUUCGGCCAUAUUUAAAUUUUCGUAAAUCUGAUUUUAUUUUUAAUUUACAUCAUACGCACAGCAUGACAUGCAUUUCAUCAUGAAUAAAACCUAAAAUAUCAGUCAAAAUAAAUUUAUUGAAAAUACAGACAAAUUGGUUAAAUCAUUUCUCAAGAACAUGCAAAAUCAACGGGUAAAAAGUUUCAAAAUUAAAAUUGCAGACGCCAGUAUUAUUAAUCUACGGUUCACGUAGUUAAACCUGGUGUGCUCGUUGUAUUUUUCAGUGGCUGUUUUAGUUGCGUUUUGACCCGCCUGAGCCUUUUAACCGGUGCAAAUUUAUUUCAAAAUUUAAAGAAAUGCUGUAUUUUUUUUAUAAGUAUAUUUUGUGCCGAUCAUUUUAGUACAUCCGAUUUAAUUUUUCGAGCAAAUUUUUGCCCGACAAAACAAGUAACAAUCAGUAAAAUUAAAAUAAGAAAGCGGUUUUAUUUCGAUUUGAAUAAAUAGGAAUUUUCACAUUUUUAUUUCACUUUUAUCAUAUUUAUUUAGGAAGUCGUGAAUUUUUAUUUGGAUUGAUUGAUUUAAUCCCCUUCAAACCAAUUAAAUCAUUUAAAGAAACAUUCAAUGUCAUGUGUUAUUGUUGUUUCGAUGUUAUGAUGUUUGUGCUACCAUUACAACUCAGUUAGACGUGAAUCACAUUUUGGUUAUGGGAAGCAUUGAAACUCUUGUUGGCGUUGUCGGAAAAGUGAGGCUUGUAGGUCGAUUCUCCGUAGCAGAAUGAUGAGGUAAUUUUACAAUUGUUAUUGAUAAAUUAUUGGAAAUUCUAUGAAACAAUCACGAUCUGUGGAAUGGUUGGUUAUUUUUUCCAUUUCCUUUUUCUCAUCUUUGUCUGUAUGAUUGUUUAUUUGUUCUCAUCUCAAUCGUGUUCAUGCUUUGUUUGUGAUUAACAAUUUUUAUUUUUGUAUGUUGUUGAUAUUGCAUUGUCUUCUUCAAGUCGGUUUUGUCAUACUGUUGUUGAGUGUACUGGUUUUGGUAUUAUUAUGUUGAAGCUUGUAAAUAUUUAUUUACUUUUAUUGAUUGUGAGAAAUGAGUUUGUAUGAUUUUUGUGGAGAGAGGUUAUAGGAAGUUGUUGAAAGAAGCAAGGCGUUGUGUGUGAAUUCCACUUAAAAAGCCAAAGGUCCAUUUGUUUUUUUUUUCAUUUCCUGCGCUACGUUGCUGUAGAAAGAUUGCUUUCAAAUUUUUCUGCACCCUUUUUAUACUUUGUAUUAUUAAUUUAAAAAAUGUAAUAAGAUUAUAUUUACUUAUUAUUAGAAAUUCAUAUUUGGGAUUUUAG